rnacentral:rRNA from 1 species
CAGUAGCCGCGGUAAAACGAGGGGGGCAAGCGUUGCUCGGAAUUAUUGGGCGUAAAGGGCGCGUAGGCGGUUUGACAAGUCUGAUGUGAAAUCUCUGGGCUCAACCCAGAGUCUGCAUCGGAAACUGUCGAGCUUGAGUAUGGGAGAGGUGAGUGGAAUUUCCGGUGUAGCGGUGAAAUGCGUAGAUAUCGGAAGGAACACCUGUGGCGAAAGCGGCUCACUGGACCAUUACUGACACUGAGGCGCGAAAGCUAGGGGAGCAAACAGGAUUAGAUACCCGCGUAGUCCCUGUCUCUUAUAC